rnacentral:rRNA from 1 species
ACGGGAGCUUGCUCCCUUAGGUCAGCGGCGGACGGGUGAGUAACACGUGGGUAACCUGCCUGUAAGACUGGGAUAACUCCGGGAAACCGGGGCUAAUACCGGAUGCUUGAUUGAGCCGCAUGGUUCAAUUAUAAAAGGUGGCUUUCAGCUACCACUUACAGAUGGACCCGCGGCGCAUUAGCUAGUUGGUGAGGUAACGGCUCACCAAGGCGACGAUGCGUAGCCGACCUGAGAGGGUGAUCGGCCACACUGGGACUGAGACACGGCCCAGACUCCUACGGGAGGCAGCAGUAGGGAAUCUUCCGCAAUGGACGAAAGUCUGACGGAGCAACGCCGCGUGAGUGAUGAAGGUUUUCGGAUCGUAAAACUCUGUUGUUAGGGAAGAACAAGUACCGUUCGAAUAGGGCGGCACCUUGACGGUACCUAACCAGAAAGCCACGGCUAACUACGUGCCAGCAGCCGCGGUAAUACGUAGGUGGCAAGCGUUGUCCGGAAUUAUUGGGCGUAAAGCGCGCGCAGGCGGUUUCUUAAGUCUGAUGUGAAAGCCCCCGGCUCAACCGGGGAGGGUCAUUGGAAACUGGGGAACUUGAGUGCAGAAGAGGAGAGUGGAAUUCCACGUGUAGCGGUGAAAUGCGUAGAGAUGUGGAGGAACACCAGUGGCGAAGGCGACUC